UAUUAAUUCCUGCGAUUUUGUAAAAAUUUGUGUAUAUAUAUAUAUACACACACACACUUCUAAACUUUCAAAAGUAUAAAAGAUUUUGAAAACUAAUUUUAUGUGAUAACUGAGAAGAUACAAUAAUAAAAACGUUUGUAGAAUUCAUAUUUGUAGAGCGCAACAAGGAGCUAAGAUUUAGGACAUAACCGCUAGUUUUCUGAGUGAUGCACAAGGUAUGGGGCGAUAAACUGUUGAUAUGUUACUACAGAACGUUGAUUCUAACUCUACUAAAUAAAUUCAGCGUUUAUGUUUUUUUUAUAUUAAAAGUGUUAGUUUCCUAAGAGCUAAAUUCACCGCAGCCCAAGUGACUUCAGCACCUCCCGCAGUAGAAUAGGCCUACACAUUACGCCGCUCGGAACGCUUCAGCGCCAGCGGGCAGAUCAAUGGAGUCACACUCUUAAGCAAUAUACCAUUUGUUAAAGCUUAAAAAAUAUGCAACUUCGUUGGUUUAAAUGAAUUUUACGUGGGGCCUUUCAUGUUUAUGUAAUUGUAUUUUUAUUUUCUUAAAUUAAAAAAAAAUUGGUUGUCUGUAAAGUCGGUUUAUGGACGAUAGUUUAACGUGACGUCAUAACAAAAUAUUGAUGAAAUGAUUGCAUACUUUUAUGAAUAAAAUUGAAUCAAUUUUAUUGAAUUAUCACUAUUUUGUAUUGAUACAAAGAAGGAGUGAAAUGAAAUCUACUACCUAUUUAAUGAAAAUAUAUUUAAUCUUUAUAAAUGUUUUUGUUUUUAACAAUUGAAGUUAAGUUCCUAGAACAUUUUGGGCUUCAUUAUGAGAUUAUACUAUAGAAAUUGCAUUUACAAAAUUUAUUUUUGUGGGUCAAUGCAAGAAAUUGUAACUUAGGCCUUAACUGCACGAUUUUGGUACAACGCACAGGGUUUGCAGCGGUAAACUUUUGAUAUGUUACUAAGAAAUAUUGAUACUGCUGCUGUACAAAAUUUCAGGUUUUAUGUAAUUUUCCAUAUGUUAAAAAACUUUGUUUCCUAAGACCAAAAUUUGUUCCAACCCGAGCGACUUAAGUACCCACACGGUAGGAUACACACUACGACGCUCGGAACCUUUCAGAGGCCCGGUCAAUUGAGUCAGAGAAUUAACCAAUAUACCAUUUUAAAGCUUUAAAAAUAUGCAACAACGUUUGUAAAAGUGAUUAUUACGGCGGACCAUAUAUCUUUAUGUUAAUCGUGUUUUUAAUUCUUUCGUUGUGAAUAGAAGACACUUCUUAUUACUUCAUCGAUUAAUAUCGUACCUUUAGUAUUAACAUUUUGAAAAUGUUUUAACAUAAAUGUGUAAAAUGGUGUUUCUAGAUUAUUUGGAUGCAUUUACGGAGAGUCUACGUUAAUAACUGCGUAUACGCGAAUCAUUUUAAUGAACUGCUGUAAGUCGCUGCCAUCUAGGACUUAACUGCACGUUUUCGGUGAUACGUACAAGGUCUACAGCAGUAAACUUUCGGUAUGUUAUUAAGCAUAGUAGGCUCUACCACUGUGCAAAAAUUCAGCUUUGGGCAAAUUUUUCACAGAUUGAAAGCUUUGUUUCGUGGACGACUCGGGGUGCUCGCCUCGCAACAAGAACCGGGGGCGACAGCUGCAGGCACUCUGGAGCCGGGGCGCCCGCCCGGGCUGUGUGCCUGCGGGGAGGGCGUAGAGGCAGUCAGUCACGCCCUGGAGGUUUCCAAUACAGGAGCUCUUUGUUGGGAAUAUAGUGAAUACCAACUCGCGGACAAUUCGGCGGAAGUCGCUGUUGUAUCGUCGGCCCUGAGAAGAUCAGUGGAAGCCGAUUUUUCAAGUCGAUAAUGGGAAAGGAACGAGAAUAUUAUAAUAAUACAAAUUUGACAAAAAGUUGCGUGUAAAAUGUUACACUACCAAAGCGUUGUGCUCUUAUUUAUGACAACUUGGUAUUGUUCUACGUGGUGAGAACAAAACAUGCAACACGCUUUGUUGCUGGUAAGACGAGAGUCGUAGCGCCAAGGUGCCAUCCUUAAGGACGCGGUUCAGGUGUAUAAUACAUUUUCUGCCAUUGCGAUAGUUCACUGUUAUUCUAUUUGAAAACGGGAAAACUUCUAUUGCUGCCUAUUCGAAGACUUAACUUUGCUAUUGCAAUUAAAGCUAACGAUAAUUAGAUAAAAUAACUUUUAACUCUAAAAAUAGGAGCUAGAGUAUGAGUCAAAAUGCUGUCAAUCAGUGUUGUUAUGUAACAGAUACCUAACAUUUUAUUCAUACAUGAUAAUCAAAAUAUGUAGUUUCAUUGUUUUUCUAAAGUAUUAUCCCUAAAGUCUCCUACAGAUACAAUUGGAUCAUAGUGCUCCAUUAAUGAGGAAAUAAUUAUUUUCUUUAUUUUGGUGAAUACAUGUGAUGACAAAAUUAAAAUUUUUAAGUGAAAUAAGUAUAAAUACUGCUAAGAGUAAAAGAAGUUUUAUGGAUUACUUAGAUGCUUUGUGCGUUUCCUUUUUUUUCUUAACCUAACUAAAACCAAAUGUAUUUGGGAGGGGUCUGGGUUAGGGAGAGACCUAGGUCCGUCUCAGGCCGAAGCCUAUACGCUCUAAUCAUGCAGGGGUUAGCCAUGCAGGAGAGGUCGCAUGCAUCAUGUGCUAGGAGGGAAUUGGUCAGCCAUGGCCACCAUUAGUGCCAUGACAAACUCCCCUCACUGACUACUCUAGACUAACACUAGAUAAGGUGGGCCCAGGUGAAGCCUCUAUUGACAGAGGGAAAACCCUGGGUUCAUUCAUGCUGGAUGCAAAAUUAAUGUAUUAAUUAACAAGCAGGUUGGUUACGGGAACAGAAGGGUUGUUCUGGAAGAAGAGUUGGACAGAGUAAAAAAGCACUACUAAGCGAAGGUGGUGAGCUUGGACUGUUUGGUCCGUGUUCCCGCCAUGAUGCCAGCCAGCACACAUUCUUAAACUAGAAAUAUCAGUAUGAAUGUGUACAUGUGUAUGGGAUUAUUCUUGGGCGCUUCGCCAUUCAAGGUCUCAGGAGACCAAAAAAGUGGAAAAUCAGACGAUAAUUCGAGCCCUGCUGGGCCGAAACACGACAGUAUUUUUCGCCUACACGGAAGGACCUACAGGGAGGGCUGCGUCGGUGUUGGGCGUUGUAUGUCAAUUAGAACCAUAUUAUACUUAAUAAUACUUAAUACUAUGAGCUGCCAGCUUAGGAUUGCAAGAACUGUGCUUUUUCGCUCCGCGCGCAUUGGCUGGCAGUCUGCGCGGCCAAUCACGCGCGACUAUGGCGGCCGGUGGGCAAGGAGCGAUUUCGGCCGCUUAUAUUUUUGUCUUACGUCCGGAUCAAAAUUUCCGAGCGAUAAAACAUGUGGGUUUUAACUAUUUACGCAUUUAUCGUAAAAUGUUUCUGGGGUUCGAAUGUAAAAGUCUUGCAAAGUUUCCGUGUCCGUUUCACAAUGCAAGGCUUCUGUAGGGUAAUACAUUGGAGCGUCUGUAGCUAUUCGAAUACAUUUAUUCUGAAUUCGCUGCAGCUUUAAUAAAUGUGUUUUCGCAGUGGUUGCCCAGACUGGGGCUGCGUACGUAAUAAUAGGGUGAAUCAGUGUUUUGUAGAGCACAGUAAACCGUUCGUUACUGUGCCUCCACAUCGCCUGCUCAUUACUGGAUAUAGUGAGCUUAGUCUAACCUCAGCUUGAAUUCUCUAGGCAUCUAUAUGAUGGUGCCAGAGAAGCUUCCUGUCCAUGUGGACGCCUAGAUAUUUUACGACGUCCUUGUGUGGGAUUUGUUCGCCAAACAAACGUAUUUAUGGCCUGUGUUCUACAGGUGGAAGAUUUCCGCGAGUAAACACAAUAGCUUCGGACAUCGUUGUGUUCACUUUGCUAAGCCAGGUCGUACACCAUUGCUAGCACACAGCUAAUGCAUCCGUUUUUUUUCCUAGCCUAAUUUAAUCUAAGCUAAUGCAGUCUGGUAGUGGCUAGGUGAAGUGUGUAUGAUCUGCUAUACAGAAACGUGUCGUUUGCAUAGCACAUAGCAGCCUAACUUCACUAGGCGGUGUUCGGGGCGUGGCAAAUCUCUAGAAGGCUAUAUAUGUUAAAUAGAACAGGGCCUAGAAUACUGCCCUGUGGUACGCCUGCUCUUAUUUGUUUGAUGUCAGACAUAGUUCUUUAAGUUGAUACUGUAAACGUUCUGUCUUCUAGGUAGGACGCGACUAGCUUGGUAUAGCAGACCAGGAAAUUUGUUUGAUAUAGUUUGUAUAGAUUAGCCCCGCGUUAUAAACUCUGUCGAAGGCUUUUUCUACGUCUAAAAACGUCGCAACUACAUAAUCUUUUACGUUGAAGGCGCUUGUUAUCUCUUCAGUGAGGCGUAUGAGUUGGUGCACUGUCAAGUGAUUACUGCGAAAAAUCGAAUGGCCUAAGUGUACAGGCCUGCCCGAUCCGCGGACGAAUAUUUUCACGUUCUGCGCGCAUACUUUUCGUUGGUGAUACUGCCUACGAGCGCGGGUUUGAAUGGUAGUUUGAUGAUAUGAAUUGACAAACUGCUAGACUGUGUGUAAUAUAGUUACCCAAAUAACACUAAAACAACAAAAAUGAAUUAAAUAAUAAAUAACCAUCUCUUUUAAAACUAUAACGUGUCAGAACUGAGUGUUAUUGUGCAAACAAAGACUAAUUUUAGCAAAGAUUAUUGCACGAAGUAAGGGAGGUAGGGUUAUAUGAAUGGUCAAAAUAAGUUUUUAUAGCAACUGAUCUUGAGAAAAUGAUUUUUUUGUUUGUGUAGGCCUCAACUUUGACAGCUGAGUAAAGUUUAUUUAAACAAAGGCACAGCAUUUCAAUAAGUGUUUUAUUUUUUAAUGAAUUUCUGAAUUAUAACCUUGUCACAAAUUUUUAUGUAGGAUACAUACAGAUGCAAGUUUAUUAUAAACUGAACUAUUAGUAUUAAUGUUUAUACGUUUCAUUUAGAAAAUAAAUUUAGCUCAUAUUGUUACAUGAAUUAAUAUAUCUGAUACGCUUACUUGCGUUAUUAAAAUAACUUGCAUUAACUUCGGAACAAUUGUAACGUGUCCCAAAUUUUCGGUUGUAAACGCAAACCAAAUAUUUUCAUUUAAUUAUAUUAUUAAUUGAUGUCAUGUUAUGUUGAUAGAACUAACAAAAAACGGCGAAAUAUAAAUUCAAAUUUUUGAUAUUCGUGCUUUAUUGUUUGGCUAUUUAUUUUGGCAAUUUUUCAUAGUUUAAGCACUUAUGAAAAUAUUUACAUAAAAUUCUUAUAAAUGUUUUUUGAGAUUCUUUAAUUAUGUGUGAUGAUUCUGCUAAUAUUUGUUGAGAUAAUUGAGGUAGAUUACCGGUAUUUUACCAUUGGUUUUGUAUUUUGUAUUACGUUAGCUACUUUUAAAAUACUUUUAAGUCAUUUGGAUGGUUGGUUAAGUUUUGUUAGCUUAAUUUAAAACAUUGUUUAAUCGUGUGAAUGGCUGGAGGGAUAAGGUAAUUUAAUUUCGAACACUGUUAAAUUAUUUGAAUGAUUGGUUGUAUACAAUAUUCAUUUAAAAUACUGUAUAUUGGUGUAAAUGUUUGGGUAAGUUACGUUAGCCACAUUAAAAAUACUUAACGGCGUUCUUCGGGAUAGGUGUUAUUCAAAAAACCAUUAAAUGUUCUUAAUGGAGAACCUUCUCUAGAAAAUUAGCAUUACUUGAAAUAGGGAUAACAAUCUGCAGGUAGAGAAGUAAAGAUUGUGUUAGGUAAGUUCCGGGAAGAGGAGUGGCAGAUUUAGCAUUUAAAACUGCAGAAUAAAAAGUACGAAUUUUUGAAAAAUUUAAAUAUUUAAGCUUUGUGAAACGAUUAAUAACCAUGCAACAUUUUUAAAUAAUCAAUAUUAAUAUUACAAGAGUGACAUAUUUUUAAUUAUAUAAUCUUGAUUUUUGAAAUAAAUGCUUUUUUUUUCGGAUGAGGUUGUACUAACCAGCGAAAUGAUUUUUUUUCCGUAUCUAAACUACCGCGUUAUUAUUUUCCUGCCUAGUAUUUUGUUAGUACAAUAUAUAGUACACAAUAUAUAGUGCACAAAAUAAUUUAUUACGGUUGUGGCAAACAACAGUUAACUGGUGUCACUGCUACAAAAGUUUAACAUUAUUUAGCCAAACUUGUGUUGUGAAUGUAUUACACUGAAAUAAAUAAUAAAAUCACUUCAGGCUAUAUAAAAAAAAAGAUUGUCAAAAUUAAAUGAUAUCGUAGCUUUCGUCCAUUCGAAACCUAAAUUGGGCGGAGACAAAACAAAAUACAGAAAAAAACUUAUUUUGUAAUAAAUGAGGCAAUAAAAUUAGUUAUAGGUAUCUAAUUUCUUAAUUUAUUUACUUGAAUGAAAAUAAAUUUGCCAUUAGAAUCAUCAUUUGUUGAUAACCGCCGUUCUAACAAAAUGUAAAACUCAGAUUAACGUAUAUUUCCGUAUACAUAGCCUACUUUAGCAAAAUAUCUCCAGAGUGACGUCACAAAUUGCUAGCCAGUGAAAGAGAAAGGUGCGCAAAAGGAUACAUAUAUAACUUCACGAUGAUUCACCCGUUAUGUUCACAGUUGACAGAACAGAAGAACGAAUGAAUAUCAAGCAAUGAUUUGUGUAACAUUUUCUUAAGUGUUAUGAGUACGUAAUAAAUAUUCUCGCAGAAACUGUAUGGUGUUAUGUAGGCUGAAGUAUCUAUUUAUUCGAUUUUUUAUUUAUUAGAAAACAAUUUGAUCCGAUUUCCGCAUAGUAGACGCAGCGUCGCACUGCGUGGCUGCGACUGGUUGAUAAUCGCUGGCUCCUCUGUGACAUUGUGGGCAUUGGUGAAUCAAGCUUGUCGUGAAUGUCAGUGCGCUUGCAAACUGACUCCCCUGCUGCAGCUCAUACACCGGUCGUCACUGGAUUCUGAUGUACUUUGUAAUAAUUAAGAUAGUUUCUGAACCAGAACAGUUGAUAAGCUACGGUCCUGAAUCAAAAAAGGUAAAUUUAAAAUGUGUCGUAACUUUAUCUUUGAGCCUCAUUUAGAAAAUGUUAACAUACUCACCUUUCAUUGUUAGGUACAUAUUUUUUUACACAAUCCCGCAUAACCCUGCAAGUUAUAAAAAUUCUUCCAAUGUAUGAAUUUCCCAAUUACAUACAUAUUGAUAAUGCCGAAUGUGGACUUUAUAUAUAUAUACACAUGCAUACUUACACAUAUAUGUAUAAUAAUUGAAAGAAAAUGUUUGCUUCAAUGUCUCCCCUAUAAAUAAUAAAUGAAUUACCUAUAUGAUUAAAUAUCCGUGUUCUUAGUGGAUAUAACUAGGAAAAUCUGCAUAAUUUGUAUGUAUUUUGGUAGUUAUUAAAAAAGUACAAUUAAACUUACAAUAUUAUGAAUUGUCAUACCUCUAAUGUUAAAUUUUACUCUUGUACCGAUAGCACACUGUAUCUAAGUAACAUAAUUAAGAUGUCACAGAUAUAAUAUUUAAUACUUACUAAUUUUAUUCGACAAUGUGUUUCCGAUUCAUUUGACUUCUUGCAAAUGGGUUAUAAAUUAAGUAUAACUCCAGAGACGUACCAAAUUAGGUUACCUUGAGAAACUCAUGACGUCAGCGUGUAUGGUUUAUGUGUUAGGGAAAAUUUAUUCAAAUACUGUGUAUUAAAAAAGUGCAUGACAUGGUA